rnacentral:rRNA from 2 species
UGGGGAAUAUUGGACAAUGGGCGCAAGCCUGAUCCAGCCAUGCCGCGUGAGUGAUGAAGGCCCUAGGGUUGUAAAGCUCUUUCACCGGUGAAGAUAAUGACGGUAACCGGAGAAGAAGCCCCGGCUAACUUCGUGCCAGCAGCCGCGGUAAUACGAAGGGGGCUAGCGUUGUUCGGAUUUACUGGGCGUAAAGCGCACGUAGGCGGACUUUUAAGUCAGGGGUGAAAUCCCGGGGCUCAACCCCGGAACUGCCUUUGAUACUGGAAGUCUUGAGUAUGGUAGAGGUGAGUGGAAUUCCGAGUGUAGAGGUGAAAUUCGUAGAUAUUCGGAGGAACACCAGUGGCGAAGGCGACUCACUGGACCAUUACUGACGCUGAGGUGCGAAAGCGUGGGGAGCAAACAGG